GCAUAUCAAUAAGCGGAGGAAAAGAAACUAACAAGGAUUCCCCUAGUAAACUGCGAGUGAAGCGGGAAAAGCUCAAAUUUAAAAUCUGGUAGCCUUCGGUUGCCCGAGUUGUAGUCUGGAGAAGCGUCUUCCGCGCUGGACCGUGUACAAGUCUCUUGGAACAGAGCGUCAUAGAGGGUGAGAAUCCCGUCUUUGACACGGACUACCAGUGCUUUGUGAUGCGCUCUCAAAGAGUCGAGUUGUUUGGGAAUGCAGCUCAAAACGGGUGGUAAAUUCCAUCUAAAGCUAAAUAUUGGCGAGAGACCGAUAGCGAACAAGUACCGUGAGGGAAAGAUGAAAAGCACUUUGGAAAGAGAGUUAAACAGUACGUGAAAUUGCUGAAAGGGAAACGCUUGAAGUCAGUCGCGUCGUCCAGAACUCAACCUGGCUUUUGCUUGGUGCACUUUCUGGUUGACGGGCCAACAUCAGUUUUGACUGUCGAAAAAAGUCCUUAGGAAUGUGGCACCCUCGGGUGUGUUAUAGCCUUUGGUCGUACGCGAUGGUUGGGACUGAGGACCGCAGCACGCCUUUUGGCCGGGGUUCGCCCACGUACGUGCUUAGGAUGUUGGCGUAAUGGCUUUAAGCGACCCGUCUUGAAACACGGACCAAGGAGUCUAACAUGCCUGCGAGUGUUUGGGUGGUAAACCCGAGCGCGCAAUGAAAGUGAAAGUUGGGAUCCCUGUCGUGGGGAGCACCGACGCCCAUACCAGACCUUCUGUGACGGAUAUGCGGUUGAGCAUGUAUGUUGGGACCCGAAAGAUGGUGAACUAUGCCUGAAUAGGGUGAAGCCAGAGGAAUACUCUGGUGGAGGCUCGUAGCGAUUCUGACGUGCAAAUCGAUCGUCAAUUUUGGGUAUAGGGGCGAAAGACUAAUCGAACCAUCUAGUAGCUCGCUCUGCGA
rnacentral:rRNA from 1 species